AUGCCGAAGCUUGAGAAGCUCAGGCUGCCAUUCCAUGUGUCGAUGGCGACAACCUGUGGCUUCUACUUUGGCAUCGGGCAUCUCCCAUGUCUGAGAGAUGUAGUAGUAUAUCUCUACAAGGAGGGUGCUGGAUACUCUGAAAUCAGGGCUGCGGCAGCUGUAAUCAGGAAUGAAGCAUGUGUCCACCCCAACCAUCCCAGGGUUAUUAUUUCUGGAGAGGAUGAUGAAGAUUCCGAUGACUAA
rnacentral:rRNA from 1 species